rnacentral:tRNA from 1 species
GUUUCCAUAGUGUAGUGGUUAUCAUGUCGGCUGUACACGCUGAAGGUCCUCAGUUCGACCCUGGGCGGAAACA